AUGUCAACGGAGAGGCAACAGCUGCUUUUCGAGGGCUUCCUGAAGAAAAGGAAAGAUACAAUGAAAAUGAAGUGGUCAACCUAUUGGUUCAGGCUCCAAAACACAACAUUAUUCUUCUACACUAAGAAACAUGGGAGUGCUUCACACCUAAGAGGCCUGUACUACAUCUACACUGUGCAGUCUGUGCGUGAGAUCCAGAGGGAGAAGCGUAAGCACUACGUGUUUGAAAUCACCAUGAAGAAUGGGAAGAGGAAAGUACUGUCUGCAGAGACAGGGGAUCUGAGGAGGGAGUGGAUUGGCCAGCUGUGGAGGGCCAUGCAUCUCUCAGGCCCAGGGGGUACAGACCCAGGCUGCAUACGACAGCAGGAUGUGAGGUCUGAUGACCUGAAGGCCAGAGGUCGCUUCAGCACCUAUAACAGCUCAGAAUGUGACAGCAUGAUGGAACCACUGGGGGUUCAUCGACCCCUCUAUGCACCCCUCAACCCCUCCACCCCUGACCAAGACCUAAACCAGGGACACAGGAUUACCCAGUGCCUCUCUGGCCCCCUCACCCCUGACCAAAAUCUGGGGCACAGGGCUACCCUCUCUCUCUCCCUCACUGAUGAGCCCAGUAAUGAGGAAGCCAUAUACCAGAACACCAUCUCACAUUAUGGAGAGGAGGAUGAAGACAGUGUCCAUAGAUUUAGAAGGAGAUGUGAGGAGGAGAGAGAUGAAGAAGAGGAGGAAGAGUGUAAGGAGGAAGAGGAUCAG
rnacentral:lncRNA from 13 species